AGUUGCUCCUAGUACGAGAGGACCGGAGUGAACGAACCUCUGGUGUUCGGGUUGUCACGCCAGUGGCACUGCCCGGUAGCUAAGUUCGGAAUCGAUAACCGCUGAAAGCAUCUAAGCGGGAAGCGAGCCCUGAGAUGAGUCAUCCCUGACCCCUUGAGGGUCCUAAAGGGCCGUUGGAGACCACAACGUUGAUAGGUGGGGUGUGUAAGCGCAGUGAUGUGUUGAGCUAACCCAUACUAAUUACCCGUGAGGCUUAACCAUACAACACCCAAGAAGUGUUCU
rnacentral:rRNA from 1 species